CAGAUCUUACCUUCAUUCUGAUCUGUUGUUUUGCUGUUGGAUGUUUGAUGAUUGUCGCUUCAGUUUUGAUCUUCUGCAUCUUUAGGAAACACAAAAACACACAGCAACAAGUUCCUGAAACAGUUCAAAACAGAGGAAUGGAAAUCACUUACGCAGAUCCAACAUUCUGUAAAAGAGCAGCACAUAAACCGAGAUCAAAGGAUGAUGUGGUGUAUGCAGGAGUCAAGAGGCGAUAAAAAAAGUCUGUGAUUCUCAGAUCAACUUUCAGCUGUUUGAUCAUCUA